GGAAGGAGAAGUCGUAACAAGGUUUCCGUAGGUGAACCUGCGAAAGGAUCAUUGUCGAUGCCUAAACAUCAAACGACCCGCGAACGCGUUUACAAACAAAUUGUCCGUGCCGGUGGGCGGGGGGAAGCAUUAUGCUCUCUGCGUGCCCCCUCCCCCUCGGCGCGUCUAAACCAAACCCCGGCGCAGGUCGCGCCAAGGAACUUGAAAUGAAUUUGCCUGCCCCUUGCCCCGGCCUCGGCGUGCAGGGGGUGGAGCAUUCUUGUCGUAUUAUUCACAACGACUCUCGGCAACGGAUAUCUCGGCUCUCGCAUCGAUGAAGAACGUAGCGAAAUGCGAUACUUGGUGUGAAUUGCAGAAUCCCGUGAACCAUCGAGUCUUUGAACGCAAGUUGCGCCCCAAGCCUUCUGGCCGAGGGCACGUCUGCCUGGGUGUCACAAAUCGACGUCCCCCCAUCCUCUCGAGGAUAUGGGACGGAAGCCGAUCUCCCGUGUGUUACCGCACGCGGGUUGGCCAAAAUCCGAGCUAAGGACGUCAGGAGCGUCUUGACAUGCGGUGGUGAAUUUAAUUCUCGUCAUAUAGUCAGACGUUCCGGUCCAAAAGCUCUUGAUGACCCAAAGUCCUCAACGCGACCCCAGGUCAGGCGGGAUCACCCGCUGAGUUUAAGCAUAUC
rnacentral:rRNA from 1 species